rnacentral:rRNA from 1 species
UGGUGGAGUGAUUUGUCUGGUUAAUUCCGUUAACGAACGAGACCUCGACCUGCUAACUAGUCCAGUAGACCUUCUGGUCUUACUGCUUGACUUCUUAGAGGGACUAUCGGUGUGUAGCCGAUGGAAGUUCGAGGCAAUAACA